GCCAAGAGGCCUUGUGCCUGAGCGCAAGCGAGGUACAACAGAGGAGGCGGUCCAGAAAGAACAGAGAAACUUCAAAGAAUGCAUCAGAAUCCCUGAGUGAGCGGCUGGCCAUUCAGGACAGAGCGGUUGGGACUGAAGUGUUCAUGUUACUGUGAUCUCGUCUCUACUCAUGAUAUACUUGGGACUGCUGCAGCCAUCUUGCAUCCGUGAGGCUUCCUUCAAAGCAAGAGCUGAGUGGCUGAGGAUAUAGCUCAAGCUAAAGCUUUAAGCUCAGCACACGGUCCUGAGUUCAAUCCCCAGUACAAAAUAAAAAGCAAGAGCUGAAGACCUAUGAAGACAGAGAGUAAAGAAAAAAGAACUCAAGUCCUUGGUGAUGCCAAUGAACUGCUGAAAUAGCCAGUCCUAAAACCCUGACCUCAGCCCUCUUGUUUUGAUUCAGAAAUGUAUUUUUACCUUUUAAUAGUUCCAAAUGCAGGCUAUGUCUUACGAGCAAUGACAUCUCAGUUUCUGUCAAAUACAAAAGCAUGUAAGAAUAAUUCCCUGGAAGAAUGCAUCAUGAAAAUCCCAGACAGUGGUUUGACUGCGAGUUACAGUUCUGUUAUAGUGUGGAUGUUGAAUGUCCUCCAAAGACCUGUAUGUUAAAAGUUUAGGAGCUAAGCAGUUGGCACCACCUCCCAUCCACCAUGAUGUGCUGCCUUACUAGAGGCCCAAAGCAAAGGCCCAAGUGCCUUUAAUCUCGGACUGGACUCUCCAGAACUUGACAUUGGAACAUUUUUGCAUAACUCCAGUGAUUUCAGUUCAUCCUCCUACAAAGUUCAUCGUGAAAACAUUCAGGAUUUUUUUCUUCGUUGAAGAUUGUCAAUCAAUGCCACAAAUCCUGUUCAGCAAAAAUCUUAGAUCACUGAAUGUAGCUUUAACUUUCUGGAGGAGGAGAAAUGUAAC
rnacentral:lncRNA from 1 species